rnacentral:tRNA from 1 species
UGGCUCAGUUGGUAGAGCAUGACACUUACAACGCCAGGGUUGUGGGUUCAACUCCCAC